AAAGCAGUAGGCGAGCGUUCCGGGAGCAUUGAAGCGAUACCGUAAGGAGUCGUGGAGCGACCGGAAGUGAGAAUGUUGGCACGAGUAGCGUAAACUAUGUGAGAACCAUAGUCCCCGUAAGUCUAAGGUUUCCGACGGAAGGUUAAUCCACGUCGGGUUAGUCGGGCCUAAGGCGAGGCCGUAGGGCGUAGCCGAU
rnacentral:rRNA from 1 species